GGUUCGAUGGUGUAGUUGGUUAUCACGUCAGUCUAACAUUCUAGUUGGGUCACUGAAGGUCUCCAGUUCAAGUCUGGGUCGAAUCA